CUCAGCUGGUUGGCAUCUGUCUUCUCAAACAAUGGGACGAAAGAGGCUCCAGGUCAAAUCCCAGAUGCGGCCAUUCUCAUAAUAUUUUUUGAAGAAAUUUCUAUGCAUAUGCUUAAUCUGGUGCUGUUGGAAGAAAAAGGAACAUAUUCUCAAGGGCACCCCCUCUAUACUUUACCUUCAGAGAAAGCUAUCUCCUGGGCAUCUCUAACUUUCCAUUCCAACAAAGAGACCCUGCUCCAUCUCCAUCUCCAUCUCCAUCUCCACAGUGAAAAGAUGAAGCUUCGUUUCGUGCUGCCUCUUCUCCUUGGCCUGCUUCUGCUUUCAUCAGUCAAGGAGGCGGAGCUCUUUGCGGAUAGCCCAAACUCGGUCCGGCUUCCGGAGCACACAUGUCAAAAGACGAUUGGAACAGCUAGGUGUAGGCCGGAGAGAUGCGAACAGGAGUGCUCUGUGGAGCCCAAAGGCAGAGGAGAGUGCAUGGAUGAUGUGUGUUCAUGCAGCUUUUACUGCCCACGGCCGCCUGUUUAGAGGUUUGGAUGUUUUGGUUUGGGUCAGGAAAUGAUGGUCUUGUUUUCUCUGUUUGUUGGUUUAAGUGAUAGAUGAGAUCAAUGUUCACAGAAACCUCAGUGUCCAGCCUUUCCCUUUUUCUCUUGUAAAUUUCUUCUGUUGUUUCGAUAAUGUAGCAUGACUGCUGAAGUUUCCGGGGUCCAA